rnacentral:misc_RNA from 1 species
GAAAUGCGAUAAGUAGUGUGAAUUGCAGAAUUCAGUGAAUCAUCGAAUCUUUGAACGCACAUUGCGCCCUUUGGUAUUCCAUGGGGCAUGCCUGUUCGAGCGUCAUUUGUACCCUCAAGCUCUGCUUGGUGUUGGGUGUUUGUCCCGUCUCCGCGCGUGGACUCGCCCCAAAGUGAUUGGCAGCCGGCGUACUGGUCCCGGAGCGCAGCACAUGUCGCGCAAACGAGUGCCUUGGUACGGCGGCGUCCAUAAGCCCCUCUCUCACGCUCUUGACCUCGGAUCAGGUAGGGAUACCCGCUGAACUUAAGC